AUUGAGCGCUGGCGGCAGGCUUAACACAUGCAAGUCGAGCGGGGGAAGGUAGCUUGCUACUGGACCUAGCGGCGGACGGGUGAGUAAUGCUUAGGAAUCUGCCUAUUAGUGGGGGACAACAUCUCGAAAGGGAUGCUAAUACCGCAUACGUCCUACGGGAGAAAGCAGGGGAUCUUCGGACCUUGCGCUAAUAGAUGAGCCUAAGUCGGAUUAGCUAGUUGGUGGGGUAAAGGCCUACCAAGGCGACGAUCUGUAGCGGGUCUGAGAGGAUGGUCCGCCACACUGGGACUGAGACACGGCCCAGACUCCUACGGGAGGCAGCAGUGGGGAAUAUUGGACAAUGGGGGGAACCCGGAUCCAGCCAUGCCGCGUGUGUGAAGAAGGCCUUAUGGUUGUAAAGCACUUUAAGCGAGGAGGAGGCUACUUUAGUUAAUACCUAGAGAUAGUGGACGUUACUCGCAGAAUAAGCACCGGCUAACUCUGUGCCAGCAGCCGCCGUAA
rnacentral:rRNA from 1 species